GCCAGCAUGGUGUAGUGGUUUGAGCAUUGGACUAUGACUCUGGAGACCGUGGUUCGAUUCCCUGCUAUGCCA